rnacentral:rRNA from 1 species
CCAUGCAUGUCUAAGUAUAAGCAAUUAUACGGCGAAACUGCGAAUGGCUCAUUAAAUCAGUUAUCGUUUAUUUGAUAGUACCUUACUACUUGGAUAACCGUGGUAAUUCUAGAGCUAAUACAUGCUAAAAAUCCCGACUCACGAAGGGAUGUAUUUAUUAGAUUAAAAACCAAUGCCCCUCGGGGCUUUCUGGUGAUUCAUAAUAACUUCUCGAAUCGCAUGGCCUUGCGCCGGCGAUGGUUCAUUCAAAUUUCUGCCCUAUCAACUUUCGAUGGCAGGGUCUUGGCCUGCCAUGGUUACAACGGGUAACGGAGGGUUAGGGCUCGACCCCGGAGAAGGAGCCUGAGAAACGGCUACUACAUCCAAGGAAGGCAGCAGGCGCGCAAAUUACCCAAUCCCGACACGGGGAGGUAGUGACAAUAAAUACUGAUACAGGGCUCUUUUGGGUCUUGUAAUUGGAAUGAGUACAAUUUAAAUCCCUUAACGAGGAACAAUUGGAGGGCAAGUCUGGUGCCAGCAGCCGCGGUAAUUCCAGCUCCAAUAGCGUAUAUUAAAGUUGUUGCAGUUAAAAAGCUCGUAGUUGAACCUUGGGCCUGGCUGGCCGGUCCGCCUCACCGCGUGCACUGGUCUGGCCGGGCCUUUUCCCUCUGGGAGCCCUAUGCCCUUCACUGGGUGUAGUGGGGAACCAGGACUUUUACUGUGAAAAAAUUAGAGNNNUCAAANNAGGCCUAUGCUCGAAUACNUCAGCAUGGAAUNAUAGAAUAGGANGUGUGGUUCUAUUUUGUUGGUUUCUAGGACCGCCGUAAUGNUUAAUAGGGACAGUCGGGGGCAUCAGUAUUCAAUUGUCAGAGGUGAAAUUCUUGGAUUUAUUGAAGACUAACUACUGCGAAAGCAUUUGCCAAGGAUGUUUUCANNAAUCAGGAACGAAAGUUAGGGGNUCNAAGACGNNCAGAUACCGUCGUAGUCUUAACCAUAAACUAUGCCGACUAGGGAUCGGNCGGUGUUAUUUUUUGACUCGUUCGGCACCUUACGA